UCUCUUUACCAUGCAUUACUUACACUUUGAAAUUCUCAUUUUCUCAAAGUUCAACUCAAUAAAUAGUUAUUGGAUUAAAUGUUCUGACAGUUGUCACAAAGGGUGGGGACAUAGACAUUUAAUUCAUACAUCAUACUGCUUGUUCGCAACAAAGGACACAUAACUAACAAUUACAAAGGAAUGUAACUCAAAUAGAACAAGUAUUAAUAACAUUGAGUCCCACUCAUGUUAAAGCAUACAUGAUUUAAACAAAUAAUUUCAUUAAUUAAUAAUUAUUUUGUUUGUGUUCAAUUUUAUGAAUACUGUUAACUUAAUAGUGUAAAAUUAAGCAUCUUUCUGCUUAAAAAAAUAUUAUUUACAAACAUGAUGAUGACAUCAUUAAUAGAUGAAAAUCUCUGUCCUCUGAGCACAACAUUUAGUUUAGGAAAAAUGAGCUCACAAAUAUAUGUUACAGCUUUCUAUUAAAUCUAGUUCUUUAGAAACUACAUUGGUUUCUCAUCAAGUUUAAUUGUCCCUGGGUUCAGCUGUUAUAUAAAAACACUAAAUAACUCGGUCAAGAUGAACAGUGGACUUUAUUACACUUGAUAGCGUAUAUCAUAUAUUAAAUUUUCUUUUGUUGUCUGGAUGUUUAAGUUGCAACAUGUGAAUUCUUAUGUUCUUUUUUCUUCUAUUGGAUCUGACAAGAAUACAAAUAGAAUAGCUCAUGUUCAGGAUUCUAUUUACUGUGCUGUUGCUGUUUGGUCACUGGCUCAAGUUUAUAAAAAGAUUGAUGAUGACCAGGGCAGGAUCAUAAGUUGGGCCAAGCUGAUGAUGGGUAUGUAGCAAUGUUGGAUAUUCAAGUUGGCCUCCUUCAGUUGUAGAGCGACUAUGGUUCAUCUCAAACACUUUUCCAUGUGCAAUGUUGGAUAUGACAGGCAGAUAAAAAAGAUUGAUGAUGACCAGGGCAGGAUCAUAAGUUGGGCCAAGCUGAUGAUGGGUAUGUAGCAAUGUUGGAUAUUCAAGUUGGCCUCCUUCAGUUGUAGAGCGACUAUGGUUCAUCUCAAACACUUUUCCAUGUGCAAUGUUGGAUAUGACAGGCAGAUAAAGUAGAAAAGUUCAAAUCCAAUUAAGUCCAGCAUAUGCCCUGCACUCUACAUUUGAUCUUGUCACUGGUUACCCAGCAUACAGAGGCAAAGAAUAUGAACAUUUGCAAGGGAUUCAUUCAACAGAUGAAGUCAACUUCAUACAGAAUCUAGUUUUUUAUGUGGAGAGAGCUUAUAGAACACCUGACUAUGAGCUUAUAGAACACCUGACUAUGAGCUUAUAGAACACCUGACUAUGAGCUUAUAGAAC